rnacentral:rRNA from 1 species
AACGUAGGAGGCGAGCGUUAUCCGGAUUCACUGGGCGUAAAGCGUGCGUAGGCGGUUGGGUAAGUCGGACGUUAAAGCCCCUGGCUCAACUAGGGGAGGUCGUUCGAUACUGCUUGGCUUGAGGAUGAUAGAGGAAAGCGGAAUUCCCGGUGUAGCGGUGGAAUGCGUAGAGAUCGGGAGGAACACCAGUGGCGAAAGCGGCUUUCUGGCUCAUUUCUGACGCUGAGUGCACGAAAGCGUGGGGAGCAAACGGG